rnacentral:rRNA from 1 species
CUGAACGCUGGCGGCGUGGCUAAGACAUGCAAGUCGUACGGGGCCGCAAGGCCCAGUGGCGAACGGGAGAGUAAUGAAUCGCUAAUGUACCCCGGACAUCAGGGAUAGCUGCCCGAAAGGGCAGGUAAUACCUGAUGACAUAACCUUGUCGCAUGGCAGGGUUUCUCAAAGGUCCGCCGGUCUGGGAGCAGGCGAUUUCGUAUCAGCUAGUUGGCGAGGUAAUGGUAAACGGCUCACCAAGGCGACGACGCGUAGCCGGACUGAGAGGUUGGCCGGCCUCAUUGGGACUGAGACACUGCCCAGACUCCUACGGGGGGCUGCAGUAACGAAUCUUCCGCAAUGCACGAAAGUGUGACGGAGCGACCGCCGCGUGUGGGACGAAGUCCUUCGGGAUGUAAACCACUGUCAGGGGUUACCAAGUUCUGAGGAGCCCCAGAGGAAGGCACGGCUAACUCUGUGCCAGCAGCCGCGGUAAGACAGAGGUGCCAAGCGUUAGGCGGAAUCACUGGGCUUAAAGCGUGUGUAGGCGGAUCGUUAAGUACCUUGUGAAAUCCCACGGACUCAACCGUGGAACUGCUCGGUAUACUGGCGGUCUUGAGCCACCUAGGGGCAACUGGAACAAGCGGUGGAGCGGUGAAUGAAAUGCGUAGAUAUCGCUUGGAACGCCUACGGUGAAAACAGGUUGCUGGGGGAUAUUGUGCUGACGCUGAGACACGAAAGCCAGGGGAUGCGAACGGUGAUUAGAUACCCCGGUAGUCCCUGGCCCUAAACGAUGUCGACUAGAUCGUAGUGCCUCUGACGGUAUUACGGUCGAAGCAAAAGGUGCUAAGUCGACCGCCUGGGAAAGUACGGUCGCAAGGCUAAAACUCAAAGGAAUUGACGGGGGCUCACACAAGCGGUGGAGCAUGUGGUUUAAUUCGAAGCAACGCGCAGAACCUUACCUGGGCUUGACAUGCUAGGAUUAUCCCUAUGAAAGUAGGGUAGGCCCCGCAAGGGGUACAACUAGUACAGGUGCUGCAUGGCUGUCGUCAGCUCGGUGUCGUGAGAUGUCGGGUUAAGUCCCUUAACGAGCGAAACCUUUGCCCUUAGUUACCAGCGGGUUAUGCCGGGGACUCUAAGGGGACUGCCGGUGUCAAACCGGAGGAAGGUGGAGAUGACGUCAAGUCCUCAUGGCCUUUAUGUCCAGGGCUACACACGUGCUACAAUGGACGGCACAAAGAGUCGCAAACCGCGAGGUUGAGCUAAUCUCAAAAAACCGUUCUCAGUUCGGAUUGCACUCUGCAACUCGAGUGCAUGAAGCUGGAAUCGCUAGUAAUCGCGGAUCAGCACGCCGCGGUGAAUACGUUCCCGGGCCUUGUAUACACCGCCCGUCACAUCACGAAGUCGGUUGCACUAGAAGUCGGUGGGCUAACCCGCAAGGGAGGCAGCCGCCUAAAGUGUGAUC